rnacentral:misc_RNA from 1 species
CUUAUCAUUUAGAGGAAGGAGAAGUCGUAACAAGGUUUCCGUAGGUGAACCUGCGGAAGGAUCAUUGUCGAAACCUGCCCAGCAGACGACCCGCGAACACGUAUGUAAAUCUCUGGCAAGCAAGCAGUGGCCCAAAAGCCCUGAUUGCUGCCCACUGUUGGGGGUUGCGCCCUGAGCCUGUAGAGGCAACGCGUGCACUCCUCGACAGAUUAACGAAACCCCGGCGCAAACCGCGCCAAGGAACUUUUAAAAAGAGAGCUCGCCCUUGAUGCCCCGUUCGCGGGUGCUAGGGGGCAGUGGCGUCUUUCACGAAUCCAAACGACUCUCGGCAACGGAUAUCUCGGCUCUCGCAUCGAUGAAGAACGUAGCGAAAUGCGAUACUUGGUGUGAAUUGCAGAAUCCCGUGAACCAUCGAGUUUUUGAACGCAAGUUGCGCCCGAAGCCAUUAGGUUGAGGGCACGUCUGCCUGGGCGUCUCACAUCGCGUCGUUCCCAUCGCCCCGCCCAAGUUAGGUGUCGGUGUUUGGGUACGGAUAUUGGCCCCCCAUGCGCUCGUGUGCGUGGUCGGCCUAAAAAUGAGUCCCUGGCGAUGCAUGUCACGACAAGUGGUGGUUGACAAGCCGUUGCGUCCUGUCUUUGCAUGCUUCGUCGCCAAGGGUUUCUCCACUGACCCUUAAGUGCCGUUGAAACGGUGCCUCGACCGCGACCCCAGGUCAGGCGGGACUACCCGCUGAGUUUAAGCAUAUCA